UACGGAGGGGGCUAGCGUUGUUCGGAAUUACUGGGCGUAAAGCGCGCGUAGGCGGCUUUGUAAGUUAGAGGUGAAAGCCCGGAGCUCAACUCCGGAAUUGCCUUUAAGACUGCAUCGCUAGAAUCAUGGAGAGGUGAGUGGAAUUCCGAGUGUAGAGGUGAAAUUCGUAGAUAUCGGGAGGAACACCGGUGGCGAAGGCGGCGACCUGGGUAGAUACUGACGCUGAGGUGCGAAAGCGUGGGGAGCAAACAGG
rnacentral:rRNA from 1 species